GUAAAUGUAUUUUGUGAAGACUUGAAAACUGUCGACGGUUUGCGCCGUUCGUGAGUUCGAAUCUCACCGUUUCCGCCA
rnacentral:tRNA from 1 species